GAUGAAGAACGCAGCGAAAUGCGAUAAGUAAUGUGAAUUGCAGAAUUCAGUGAAUCAUCGAAUCUUUGAACGCACAUUGCGCCCGCCAGUAUUCUGGCGGGCAUGCCUGUUCGAGCGUCAUUACAACCCUCAGGCCCCCGGGCCUGGCGUUGGGGAUCGGCGGAGCCCCCCGUGGGCACACGCCGUCCCCCAAAUACAGUGGCGGUCCCGCCGCAGCUUCCAUCGCGUAGUAGCUAACACCUCGCGACUGGAGAGCGGCGCGGCCACGCCGUAAAACACCCAACUCUUCUGAAGUUGACCUCGAAUCAGGUAGGAAUACCCGCUGAACUUAAGCAUAUCAAUAAGCGGAGGGA
rnacentral:misc_RNA from 1 species